rnacentral:rRNA from 1 species
UGGGGAAUUUUGGACAAUGGGCGAAAGCCUGAUCCAGCAAUGCCGCGUGCAGGAUGAAGGCCUUCGGGUUGUAAACUGCUUUUGUACGGAACGAAAAAGCUUCUCCUAAUACGAGAGGCCCAUGACGGUACCGUAAGAAUAAGCACCGGCUAACUACGUGCCAGCAGCCGCGGUAAUACGUAGGGUGCGAGCGUUAAUCGGAAUUACUGGGCGUAAAGCGUGCGCAGGCGGUUGUGUAAGACAGAUGUGAAAUCCCCGGGCUCAACCUGGGAACUGCAUUUGUGACUGCAUGGCUAGAGUACGGUAGAGGGGGAUGGAAUUCCGCGUGUAGCAGUGAAAUGCGUAGAUAUGCGGAGGAACACCGAUGGCGAAGGCAAUCCCCUGGACCUGUACUGACGCUCAUGCACGAAAGCGUGGGGAGCAAACA